ACCCAGCUGACGAGUCCCAAGUAGGACGAAACGUGCGUCCUGGAU
rnacentral:hammerhead_ribozyme from 1 species